GCCGGGUGUGGUGGUGCACGCCUGUAAUCCCAGCUACUCAGGAGGCUGAGGCAGGAGAAUCACUUGAACCCAGGAAGUGGAGGUUGCAGUGAGCUGAGAUCGCUCCACUGCACUCCAGCCUGGGCAACAGAUUGAGACUCUGUCUCAA
rnacentral:SRP_RNA from 1 species